AGCAGCCGCGGUAAUUCCAGCUCCAAUAGCGUAUAUUAAAGUUGUUGCAGUUAAAAAGCUCGUAGUUGAAUUUCGGAAUCUGUCCAUCGGUCGGGCUUCACUGUCCGUACUGGUGUGGUGGGUUCUUACCUUCUGAAUAACCAGCAUGCCAUUCACUUGGUGCGUUGGGGAAGCAGGACUAUUACCUUGAAAAAAUUAGAGUGCUCAAAGCAGGCUAGUGCCUGAAUACAUUAGCAUGGAAUAAUAAAAUAGGACGGCAUGGUUCUAUUUUGUUGGUUUCUAGGAUCACCGUAAUGAUUAAUAGGGAUAGUUGGGGGCAUUAGUAUUCAAUUGUCAGAGGUGAAAUUCUUGGAUUUAUUGAAGACUAACUUCUGCGAAAGCAUUUGCCAAGGAUGUUUUCAUUAAUCAAGAACGAAAGUUAGGGGAUCGAAGACGAUCAGAUAACCGUCGUAGUCUUAACCAUAAACUAUAGCCGACUAGGGAUCGGACGAUGUUAAUUUUUUAAUGACUCG
rnacentral:rRNA from 1 species